ACGGAAGGUGCAAGCGUUAGUCGGAAUUACUGGGCGUAAAGGGUGCGUAGGCGGUGAUAUAAGUCGGAUGUGAAAUUCCAAGGCUCAACCUUGGAGCUGCAUCCGAGACUGUACCACUAGAGGAAUGGCGGAGAGAAUGGAAUUCCAUAUGUAGCGGUGAAAUGCGUAGAUAUAUGGAAGAACACCCGUGGCGAAAGCGGUUCUCUAGCCUUCUCCUGACGCUGAGGCACGAAAGCAAGGGGAGCAAACAG
rnacentral:rRNA from 1 species